rnacentral:rRNA from 1 species
UACGGGGGGGCAAGCGUUGUUCGGAAUUACUGGGCGUAAAGGGCUCGUAGGCGGCCAACUAAGUCAGACGUGAAAUCCCUCGGCUUAACCGGGGAACUGCGUCUGAUACUGGAUGGCUUGAGGUUGGGAGAGGGAUGCGGAAUUCCAGGUGUAGCGGUGAAAUGCGUAGAUAUCUGGAGGAACACCGGUGGCGAAGGCGGCAUCCUGGACCAAUUCUGACGCUGAGGAGCGAAAGCCAGGGGAGCAAACGGG